rnacentral:rRNA from 1 species
UCUCUGAUGUUAGCGGCGGACGGGUGAGUAACACGUGGAUAACCUACCUAUAAGACUGGGAUAACUUCGGGAAACCGGAGCUAAUACCGGAUAAUAUUUUGAACCGCAUGGUUCAAAAGUGAAAGACGGUCUUGCUGUCACUUAUAGAUGGAUCCGCGCUGCAUUAGCUAGUUGGUAAGGUAACGGCUUACCAAGGCAACGAUGCAUAGCCGACCUGAGAGGGUGAUCGGCCACACUGGAACUGAGACACGGUCCAGACUCCUACGGGAGGCAGCAGUAGGGAAUCUUCCGCAAUGGGCGAAAGCCUGACGGAGCAACGCCGCGUGAGUGAUGAAGGUCUUCGGAUCGUAAAACUCUGUUAUUAGGGAAGAACAUAUGUGUAAGUAACUGUGCACAUCUUGACGGUACCUAAUCAGAAAGCCACGGCUAACUACGUGCCAGCAGCCGCGGUAAUACGUAGGUGGCAAGCGUUAUCCGGAAUUAUUGGGCGUAAAGCGCGCGUAGGCGGUUUUUUAAGUCUGAUGUGAAAGCCCACGGCUCAACCGUGGAGGGUCAUUGGAAACUGGAAAACUUGAGUGCAGAAGAGGAAAGUGGAAUUCCAUGUGUAGCGGUGAAAUGCGCAGAGAUAUGGAGGAACACCAGUGGCGAAGGCGACUUUCUGGUCUGUAACUGACGCUGAUGUGCGAAAGCGUGGGGAUCAAACAGGAUUAGAUACCCUGGUAGUCCACGCCGUAAACGAUGAGUGCUAAGUGUUAGGGGGUUUCCGCCCCUUAGUGCUGCAGCUAACGCAUUAAGCACUCCGCCUGGGGAGUACGACCGCAAGGUUGAAACUCAAAGGAAUUGACGGGGACCCGCACAAGCGGUGGAGCAUGUGGUUUAAUUCGAAGCAACGCGAAGAACCUUACCAAAUCUUGACAUCCUUUGACAACUCUAGAGAUAGAGCUUUCCCCUUCGGGGGACAAAGUGACAGGUGGUGCAUGGUUGUCGUCAGCUCGUGUCGUGAGAUGUUGGGUUAAGUCCCGCAACGAGCGCAACCCUUAAGCUUAGUUGCCAUCAUUAAGUUGGGCACUCUAAGUUGACUGCCGGUGACAAACCGGAGGAAGGUGGGGAUGACGUCAAAUCAUCAUGCCCCUUAUGAUUUGGGCUACACACGUGCUACAAUGGACAAUACAAAGGGCAGCGAAACCGCGAGGUCAAGCAAAUCCCAUAAAGUUGUUCUCAGUUCGGAUUGUAGUCUGCAACUCGACUACAUGAAGCUGGAAUCGCUAGUAAUCGUAGAUCAGCAUGCUACGGUGAAUACGUUCCCGGGUCUUGUACACACCGCCCGUCACACCACGAGAGUUUGUAACACCCGAAGCCGGUGGAGUAACCUUUUAGGAGCUAGCCGUCGAAGGUGGGACAAAUGAUUGGGGUGAAGUCGUAACAAGGUAGCCGUAUCGGAAGGUGCGGCUG